AAUGAACGCUGACAGAAUGCUUAACACAUGCAAGUCGAUGGGGAAGUGGUGCUUGCACCAUGGUAACCAUGGCGGACGGGUGAGUAACGCGUAAGGGACUUGCCCGCGGGACCGGGAUAACAGCAGGAAACUGCUGACAAGACCGGAUAAGGUCAUGGAGCCGCAUGGUUACAUGAUGAAAGGAGACGCCUGCGGAGAGCCUUGCGUCCUAUUAGCUAGUUGGGGGGGUAACGGCCCACCAAGGCGAAGAUAGGUAGCCGGCCUGAGAGGGUGGACGGCCACAAGGGGACUGAGAUACGGCCCUUACUCCUACGGGAGGCAGCAGUGGGGAAUAUUGGACAAUGGGGGCAACCCUGAUCCAGCAAUUCUGUGUGCACGAAGACGGUUUUCGGAUUGUAAAGUGCUUUCAGCAGGGAAGAAGUAAGUGACGGUACCUGCAGAAGAAGCGACGGCUAAAUACGUGCCAGCAGCCGCGGUAAUACGUAUGUCGCGAGCGUUAUCCGGAAUUAUUGGGCAUAAAGGGCAUCUAGGCGGCCUGACAAGUCAGGGGUGAAAACCUGCGGCUCAACCGCAGGCCUGCCUUUGAAACUGACAGGCUGGAGUACCGGAGAGGUGGACGGAACUGCACGAGUAGAGGUGAAAUUCGUAGAUAUGUGCAGGAAUGCCGAUGAUGAAGAUAGUUCACUGGACGGUAACUGACGCUGAAGUGCGAAAGCCGGGGGAGCGAACAGG
rnacentral:rRNA from 1 species